rnacentral:rRNA from 1 species
UACGGGGGGGGCAAGCGUUGUUCGGAAUUACUGGGCGUAAAGGGCUCGUAGGCGGCCAACUAAGUCGGAUUUGAAAUCCCCAGGCUUAACCUGGGAACUGCAUCCGAUACUGGAUGGCUUGAAUCCGGGAGAGGGAUGCAGAAUUCCAGGUGUAGCGGUGAAAUGCGUAGAUAUCGGAAGGAACACCAGUAGCGAAAGCGGCUUCCUGGUCCAGCACCGACGUUCAGGCACGAAAGCGUGGGGAGCAAACAGG